AUUCCAGCUCCAAUAGCGUAUAUUAAAGUUGUUGCGGUAAAAAAGCUCGUAGUUGGAUUUCUGUUGAGGACGACCGGUCCGUACCAUGUACGCGCAUCUGGUUCGGCCUCGGCAUUCUCUCGAUAGACGUUUCUGCGCUUGAUUGCGUGGAGCGGAUUUCGGGACUUUUACUUUGAGGAAACUAGAGUGUUCACGGCAGGCUAUCGCCAGAAUACAUUAGCAUGGAAUAAUACUAUAGGAUCUCGGUUCUAUUUUGUUGGUUUCUAGACCCGGGGUAAUGAUUAAUAGGGACAAUUGGGGGCAUUUGUAUCAACACGUCAGAGGUGGAAUUCUUGGAUUGUGUUGCGACAAACUACUGCGAAAGCAUUUGCCAAGGAUGUUUUCAUUA
rnacentral:rRNA from 1 species